GUCAAGUAAUUAAGUGCAUGUGGUGGAUGCCUUG
rnacentral:sRNA from 1 species